GAUGAACGCUGGCGGCGUGCUUAACACAUGCAAGUCGAACGAAACACCUUAUUUGGUUUUCUUCGGAACUGAAGAUUUGGUGAUUGAGUGGCGGACGGGUGAGUAACGCGUGGGUAACCUGCCCUGUACAGGGGGAUAACAGUCAGAAAUGACUGCUAAUACCGCAUAAGACCACAGCACCGCAUGGUGCAGGGGUAAAAACUCCGGUGGUACAGGAUGGACCCGCGUCUGAUUAGCUGGUUGGUGAGGUAACGGCUCACCAAGGCGACGAUCAGUAGCCGGCUUGAGAGAGUGAACGGCCACAUUGGGACUGAGACACGGCCCAAACUCCUACGGGAGGCAGCAGUGGGGAAUAUUGCACAAUGGGGGAAACCCUGAUGCAGCGACGCCGCGUGAGUGAAGAAGUACCUCGGUAUGUAAAGCUCUAUCAGCAGGGAAGAAAA
rnacentral:rRNA from 1 species